rnacentral:rRNA from 1 species
CUACGGGCCGCUCCAGUAGGGAAUCUUCCGCAAUGGGCGAAAGCCUGACGGAGCGACACCGCGUGAAGGAUGACGGCCUUAGGGUUGUAAACUUCUUUUCUGAGGGACGAAAAUCUGACGGUACCUCAGGAAUAAGCCCCGGCUAAUUACGUGCCAGCAGCCGCGGUAAUACGUAAGGGGCAAGCAUUAUCCGGAAUCAUUGGGCGUAAAGAGUCCGCAGGUGGUGUAGUAAGUCUGUCAUUAAAUACCAGUGCUUAACAUUGGUGCUGUGAUGGAAACUGCUACGCUAGAGGAUGGGAGAGGCAUAUGGAGUUGUGCAAGUAGGGGUAAGAUCCGUAGAUAUGCACAGGAACACCAAAAGCGAAGGCAGUAUGCUGGCCCAAUCCUGACACUCAGGGACGAAAGCGUGGGGAGCGAAACGGAUUAGAUACCCUCGUAGUC